AUGCUGCCACACUACACACCUCUGAGACCAUCAAUUAUGACUGAUACUGAGGAACUGUAUUUCCUGUCAGAAAUGCUCAGUGAUCCUCAGAGCAGAGAGAGGUAUUGCUGUCUUCUGUGUUCUUCAGUGUCCCAACUGAGACAUUCAAACCUCAUUGCAGAGCUCAUGUCUUUCCUCACCAUCAUGUGAGUGUGAGAUUGCUCUGGAUUCUGGUUAUGUGGCCUGCAGCACCUAUAAGAACAAGCUCGUCCAGUGUGCCUGCAUUCCAGCUUCUUAGACUCUACGCAAGUGGACAGAGUAUCAGUGUUUGGCCACUCUUACAGACACCGACUUCUGUCAACUCACUUCUACUGAUCAGGCACUUCACUCCAAGAAGAUAGAAGGUUGCAAGCCUGUCAUCAUUUCCAGUGUGGCUUUGUAUUCUUGGGGUAGCAUCAGAUUUUUCCCACAAAUAUUCAAAGGUAACACUUGUUUUAAGCUUAGUUAUUAAAUCAAAACACAAGAAGUGGAAUCCUUCACUGCGCACAUUAACGCUGUGGAUAAAAACAUCAAGUUCACCAGGGAGGACACAAAGGACGACAGUUUGCCUU
rnacentral:lncRNA from 1 species